GGCGCUAUAGCCAAGUGGUUACGGCGACAGAUUCGAAUCCACCACCAACCAUAUACAAUUCGAUAUCUGUUCCUCUUUGAGGGCGCAGGUUCAAAUCCUGCUGGCGUCG